rnacentral:rRNA from 1 species
GACGAACGCUGGCGGCGUGCCUAAUACAUGCAAGUCGAGCGGGCCUCCGGAGGUGCUUGCACCUCCGGAAGGCCAGCGGCGGACGGGUGAGUAACACGUGGGCAACCUGCCUUUGAGGCCGGGAUAACACCGGGAAACCGGUGCUAAUACCGGAUACGUCCUCUUUCGCGCCUGCGAGAGGGGAGAAAGACGGUCUUUAAGGCCGUCGCUCAAAGAGGGGCCCGCGGCGCAUUAGCUUGUUGGUGGGGUAAGGGCCUACCAAGGCGACGAUGCGUUGCAGACCUGAGAGGGUGGUCAGCCACACUGGGAGUGAGACACGGCCCAGACUCCUGCGGGAGGCAGCAGUAGGGAAUCAUCCGCAAUGGGCGAAAGCCUGACGGUGCAACGCCGCGUGAGUGAGGAAGGUUUUCGGAUCGUAAAGCUCUGUUGUGAGGGAAGAACAGCUUCCGGAGGAAAUGCCGGAGGUUUGCCGGUACCUCACCAGAAAGCCCCGGCUAACUACGUGCCAGCAGCCGCGGUAA